rnacentral:rRNA from 1 species
GACGAACGCUGGCGGCGUGCCUAAUACAUGCAAGUCGAACGCACUCUCGUUUAGAUUGAAGGAGCUUGCUCCUGAUUGAUAAACAUUUGAGUGAGUGGCGGACGGGUGAGUAACACGUGGGUAACCUGCCCUAAAGUGGGGGAUAACAUUUGGAAACAGAUGCUAAUACCGCAUAAAACCUAACACCGCAUGGUGUAGGGUUGAAAGAUGGUUUCGGCUAUCACUUUAGGAUGGACCCGCGGUGCAUUAGUUAGUUGGUGAGGUAAAGGCUCACCAAGACCGUGAUGCAUAGCCGACCUGAGAGGGUAAUCGGCCACACUGGGACUGAGACACGGCCCAGACUCCUACGGAGGCAGCAGUAGGGAAUCUUCCACAAUGGACGAAAGUCUGAUGGAGCAACGCCGCGUGAGUGAAGAAGGUUUCGGAUCGUAAAACUCUAGUUGUUGGAGAAGAAUGUAUCUGAUAGUAACUGAUC